rnacentral:rRNA from 1 species
GACGAACGCUGGCGGCGUGCCUAAUACAUGCAAGUAGAACGCUGAAGGAGGAGCUUGCUUCUCUGGAUGAGUUGCGAACGGGUGAGUAACGCGUAGGUAACCUGCCUGGUAGCGGGGGAUAACUAUUGGAAACGAUAGCUAAUACCGCAUAAGAGUAGAUGUUGCAUGACAUUUGCUUAAAAGGUGCAAUUGCAUCACUACCAGAUGGACCUGCGUUGUAUUAGCUAGUUGGUGGGGUAACGGCUUACCAAGGCGACGAUACAUAGCCGACCUGAGAGGGUGAUCGGCCACACUGGGACUGAGACACGGCCCAGACUCCUACGGGAGGCAGCAGUAGGGAAUCUUCGGCAAUGGACGGAAGUCAGACCGAGCAACGCCGCGUGAGUGAAGAAGGUUUUCGGAUCGUAAAGCUCUGUUGUAAGAGAAGAACGAGUGUGAGAGUGGAAAGUUCACACUGUGACGGUAUCUUACCAGAAAGGGACGGCUAACUACGUG